AGUGGCGAACGGGUGAGUAACGCGUGAGUAACCUGCCCUGGAGUGGGGGACAACAGUUGGAAACGACUGCUAAUACCGCAUAAGCCCACGGCCCGGCAUCGGGCUGAGGGAAAAGGAUUUAUUCGCUCUAGGAUGGACUCGCGUCCAAUUAGCUAGUUGGUGAGGUAACGGCCCACCAAGGCGACGAUUGGUAGCCGGACUGAGAGGUUGAACGGUCACAUUGGAACUGAGACACGGUCCAAACUCC
rnacentral:rRNA from 1 species